AUUGCAGCGUCAUUCUUGCCAACAACAGUAGCCGGCUGUUUAAUGUAUUUUAUCCAAUCAUCAGACGUGCAUUGCCGAAAUAAACCACUGUGGAAUAAAUUUUCCCUUAUUUCGGCAGUGCUAAAAUAUAGCUGUCACGCGCGGCGGAGAAUGGUCAUAUUACUCGGAAUCAACUAUAAAGUAAUCAUUUUUAGUAAAAUCGAAUCAGAUUCAACAAAACAAACAAUUUGAUACCAAGAUGUAAUAUAUUUUUAACACAUAAUGAAACUCAAAAAGCAAAUUAACAUUAUCUACAACUAUUAAGUGCGCGUACUCGUGACGUCAUUAUUAACACGUCAUACGACACAAUGCAUGUUUUUUCACGCUAAAGCUGCAGUUGUUUAGUGUUUUUGUUUCAUUAUUUCUUAAAAAUCGGGGACGUAGAGGAAUGAUAAACAGAAAACAGUCCCCUAUCCCGUCUUCGCAGCUGCACCAUUGGACAAGCCAUCUUGUGAAAGUGGAAUAUACUUAAAGUCUACAAUAACGAAACCAAGAUAGAUGAUUCCUAUCCAAAUGCACAGUUUGCGGUGGAUAACUAUCACUUGUGGAGAGCGGACAGGACAGCCAGUGGUGGAGGAGUAAUGACCUACUUGCGGUCAGAUAUUGCUCGGGAUAGGUUUUUCCGGAUCAACUAAAGUUAGCACAAGUGACACCCCUGCAUAAAAAGAAUAGUACUUUAGAUAAAGGUAAUUAUAGACCAGUAAGCAUUUUGCCUGUUGUGUCAAAAUUAUUUGAAAGAGCCAUCAAUACUCAGAUAUCUGACUUUUUUAAUGUACAUUUUCAUGCUUUCCUGUCAGCCUUUAGACCUGGUUAUGGUUGUCAGUCCACGCUGCUUAGGGUAAUAGAAGACUGGAAAAGAGACCUUGAUGAAAAUAAGUACUCCAAUACUGCUGUUAUACCUAAGGUAAGGACCACAAGAUACGGCAUCAGCUCUUUCCGCUUCAGCGCGGCCAGGCUUUGGAAUUCUCUACCGCAAAACUUCAGAGACCAAUCGAACUACAAUUGCUUCCGAAGUCUGGUCAGCGCAUGGAGUGGAGAGAGUUGCGCUUGUUCUUGCUGUUCCGCAGCUUCAUAGCCUUAUUUAUUUACUAAAUUUAGUUGUAGUUUUGUUUGCAUUUAGUUUUAUUUGUACUGCUUUUUAUUUAUAUUUGCUUGCAUUUCCCUUGUUUUCUUCUGUUUGCUUUGUUUGUAUGUGUAGUUAUCAUCCCUUUCCAGUCUCUAUAACCCGAAGAGCGUGAGUCGUUUUGUUUUUGCCUAAUUUGUGUGCAUGUAUUUGCUGCUUUUCAUGUCUUAACUAUGAAAUAUAUUCUAAUUUGUGUUAUGCACUUGUGAGGAAGUUGCUGAUCAGUUCUUUCCAAAUCUGAUUUGGGGGAUAUAUGUUUUUUAGAAUUGUCUUAUUUGUCGCACUUUUGUGCUUAUUUUCCUAUUCAGUUUCUUAUUUAUUUUAUUGCAGUUUUUAGACCUAGGUAAAGCUCAGCAACUUCAACACAAGUUUUAAUUUAAUGUAUUAUUUCUGCCAAUUGUAUUUGUGAUUUUUGUAGUCUGCCAGUUCUUUAAAUUUUGCCUCUGCAUGAAUAUAUUUGUUUUAAAUACCUCAUGUCUUAAAAGUCUAUAGGAUUGAUUAUGUAUCAUUUAAUGCUGAUGUUUGUUUUAAAUAUGCAUGUUAUUUAUUGUUAUUAUUGUAAAUGUCGGUUAAUAGCUAUUCAUAGCUAAUGUUUCUUUGUUACUAAUGUACCGACUUAAAAUAAAAUUUGAUUUUAUUUG